rnacentral:sRNA from 1 species
GUCUUUUGCCCCGGGCUCAAUGGCUGGAUUGUGGAAACUGCACCCGCCUUCAGGUUGUUGAGCAACUGAUGGGACGAUCUCAGGGACCGGCGGUUACGAAAGAAAUGUUUAAUUUGGUAAAUCGGAGGAAAAAAACAUGGAUUUUUAGCAAUUGAAGAGCAAAUUAAG